AUGGCCGAAAGCGGGGCGGGCAGGGCACGCACCUCUCAGCACAGCCCCGGCAUCCUCUUCUUCCUCCCGGGACCGCCGGGGACUCCAGCCGUGUUCCCCAGCGCAGCUUUGCCGGACGGGGCCGCCCCCGCCGCUGCCCGGGUCGGCGGAGCGAGCAGAGCGCCUACCGCGGCGGGACGGGGGCGGGGGAUGCGGGUGCGGACCGCCCCGCCGGGUCGGCGGAGGAGGGACAGAGCGAGGAGGGACAGAGCGAGGAGGAUGGCGCUCGGGGCAGCCGAUUUGGCCUCCGGGAGGGAUCCCCAGGGGGAGGAGGUUCAGCCGGGAUCUCCUCGCACUUUCCGCCGCGACGGACCGCGAGCGGCGUCCGUGCAUCGGCUGCUCCGCCCGGCACAGCCUCGCGCCUCCUGCGGGCACCGCGCAGCAGCGGCACCGCGCUACUCGUUGAGCGCCGCGCACAGCGCAUCCUUGCGGCCGGGACGCCCCCCCGCUCCCCGCAAGUCCCGGCCCUACCUCUCGCCUCGGCUCCCGCCGCUCACGGGCCACUGGGUCACGGCUCCGGCCGUGCGACCGCGCGGGGCGGGAGCAGCGCGGCGCCAUCGGCUCUGGGCCCUGGGGCGGGGGCCGCGUGUCUCAUCGCAUCGGAAUGCGGCGCGCGCCCCUCGCCCCCCGCAGCCCCCGCCCGGCAGCAGCAACAGCAGCAGCAACAGCAGCAGCGCUCGCGGCGCUCUGUUGCUUUUUGCGUUCCCCCCCUCGCCUGCUCGGUGCCGCUGCCCCCUGAGCAGCGCGAGCGGUGCGAGUAAGGGCUGCGUUCGGGGCCGCUUCGGGAGCGGGCGCUGCCCCCGUUCCGUUCCGUUCCGUGCUUCGGGAGCGGGCGCUGCCCCCGUUCCGUUCCGUUCCGUGCCCCGCGGAUCAUUGGGGCGGGGGCUGAUCGGCCGCCAUCCGCACCGAGGAGCAGCGCGGCACGGUCUGCCCCGUCGCGCGUCUGCACGCGUGGGCUGUUCCGCUCGGUGUGAAAAGUGUCAGAAAGUUUCGUUCUGCAGGAAGCAUUCUCACUUAUUUUUUUUUUUCUACGAGACAAAAGGCGUUCUCAGAUAA
rnacentral:lncRNA from 1 species